rnacentral:rRNA from 1 species
AUUGAACGCUGGCGGCAUGCCUUACACAUGCAAGUCGAACGGUAGAGGGGGCAACCCCUUGAGAGUGGCGAACGGGUGAGUAAAGCAUCGGAACGUACCCAGUUGUGGGGGAUAACUACUCGAAAGAGUGGCUAAUACCGCAUAAGACCUGAGGGUGAAAGGGGGGGAUCGCAAGACCUCUCGCGAUUGGAGCGGCCGAUGUCAGAUUAGGUAGUUGGUGGGGUAAAGGCCUACCAAGCCUGCGAUCUGUAGCUGGUCUGAGAGGAUGGCCAGCCACACUGGGACUGAGACACGGCCCAGACUCCUACGGGAGGCAGCAGUGGGGAAUUUUGGACAAUGGGGGCAACCCUGAUCCAGCCAUGCCGCGUGCGGGAAGAAGGCCUUCGGGUUGUAAACCGCUUUUGUCAGGGAAGAAAUCUUCUGGGUUAAUACCCUGGGGGGAUGACGGUACCUGAAGAAUAAGCACCGGCUAACUACGUGCCAGCAGCCGCAGUAA